UUGGCGACAAACAGUCAGUGUCCAAGCGAAAGUGAUAAGUGAUCCACCUGGGGACUACGGCCGCAAGGUUAAAACUCAAAGGAAUUGACGGGGGCCCGCACAAGCGGAGGAGCAUGUGGUUUAAUUCGAUGGUACGCGAGGAACCUUACCUGGGUUAGAACGUAUGAGCGAUGCAGCUGAAAGGUUGCAGGCCUGCGAAGGAGUUCAUACGAGGUGCUGCAUGGUUGUCGUCAGCUCGUGCCGUGAGGUGUUUGGUUAAGUCCAGCAACGAGCGCAACCCCUACCUUUAGUUGCCAUCAGGUAAAGCUGGGGACACUAGAGGGACUGCCUGCGCAAGCAGUGAGGAAGGUGGGGAUGACGUCAAAUCAGCACGGCCCUUAUGUCCAGGGCUACACACGUGCUACAAUGGUAACUACAGAGGGCAGCGACUAGGCGACUAGGAGCGAAUCUCGAAAAGUUAUCGUAGUUCGGAUUGGAGUCUGCAACUCGACUCCAUGAAGAUGGAUUCGCUAGUAAUCGCG
rnacentral:rRNA from 1 species